rfam:Gossypium arboreum cultivar AKA8401 contig_4174_7, whole genome shotgun sequence.
UUUUAAAAAUUUUUAUCCAUUUGUACUGUUAAAAAUAGGGCAUGGUUGAUUGAAUAACCAAACACGGCACAUGUACCUCAGGCUGAUGUACAGGGACAGGUUUUAAAUAGUAGAAAUGGAUAGAAGUUUUAAUA